rnacentral:rRNA from 1 species
UACGUAGGGUGCGAGCGUUGUCCGGAAUUAUUGGGCGUAAAGAGCUCGUAGGCGGUGUGUCGCGUCGGCCGUGAAAACCUGCAGCUUAACUGUGGGCUUGCGGUCGAUACGGGCAGACUGGAGUACUGCAGGGGAGACUGGAAUUCCUGGUGUAGCGGUGGAAUGCGCAGAUAUCAGGAGGAACACCGGUGGCGAAGGCGGGUCUCUGGGCAGUAACUGACGCUGAGGAGCGAAAGCGUGGGGAGCGAACAGG